GACGAACGCUUGCGGCGUGCUUAACACAUGCAAGUCGAACGGAAAGGCCCUGCUUUUGCGGGGUGCUCGAGUGGCGAACGGGUGAGUAACACGUGAGUAACCUGCCCUUGACUUUGGGAUAACUUCAGGAAACUGGGGCUAAUACCGGAUAGGAGCUCCUGCUGCAUGGUGGGGGUUGGAAAGUUUCGGCGGUUGGGGAUGGACUCGCGGCUUAUCAGCUUGUUGGUGGGGUAGUGGCUUACCAAGGCUUUGACGGGUAGCCGGCCUGAGAGGGUGACCGGCCACAUUGGGACUGAGAUACGGCCCAGACUCCUACGGGAGGCAGCAGUGGGGAAUAUUGCACAAUGGGCGGAAGCCUGAUGCAGCAACGCCGCGUGCGGGAUGACGGCCUUCGGGUUGUAAACCGCUUUCGCCUGUGACGAAGCGUGAGUGACGGUAAUGGGUAAAGAAGCACCGGCUAACUACGUGCCAGCAGCCGCGGUGAUACGUAGGGUGCGAGCGUUGUCCGGAUUUAUUGGGCGUAAAGGGCUCGUAGGUGGUUGAUCGCGUCGGAAGUGUAAUCUUGGGGCUUAACCCUGAGCGUGCUUUCGAUACGGGUUGACUUGAGGAAGGUAGGGGAGAAUGGAAUUCCUGGUGGAGCGGUGGAAUGCGCAGAUAUCAGGAGGAACACCAGUGGCGAAGGCGGUUCUCUGGGCCUUUCCUGACGCUGAGGAGCGAAAGCGUGGGGAGCGAACAGGCUUAGAUACCCUGGUAGUCCACGCUGUAAACGGUGGGUACUAGGUGUGGGGUCCAUUCCACGGGUUCCGUGCCGUAGCUAACGCUUUAAGUACCCCGCCUGGGGAGUACGGCCGCAAGGCUAAAACUCAAAGGAAUUGACGGGGCCCCGCACAAGCGGCGGAGCAUGCGGAUUAAUUCGAUGCAACGCGUAGAACCUUACCUGGGUUUGACAUGGAUCGGGAGUGCUCAGAGAUGGGUGUGCCUCUUUUGGGGUCGGUUCACAGGUGGUGCAUGGCUGUCGUCAGCUCGUGUCGUGAGAUGUUGGGUUAAGUCCCGCAACGAGCGCAACCCUUGUUCACUGUUGCCAGCACGUUAUGGUGGGGACUCAGUGGAGACCGCCGGGGUCAACUCGGAGGAGGGUGGGGAUGACGUCAAGUCAUCAUGCCCCUUAUGUCCAGGGCUUCACGCAUGCUACAAUGGCUGGUACAGAGAGUGGCGAGCCUGUGAGGGUGAGCGAAUCUCGGAAAGCCGGUCUCAGUUCGGAUUGGGGUCUGCAACUCGACCUCAUGAAGUCGGAGUCGCUAGUAAUCGCAGAUCAGCAACGCUGCGGUGAAUACGUUCCCGGGGCU
rnacentral:rRNA from 1 species